rnacentral:rRNA from 1 species
AUUGAACGCUGGCGGCAUGCUUUACACAUGCAAGUCGAACGGUAACAGGCCUUCGGGUGCUGACGAGUGGCGAACGGGUGAGUAAUGCAUCGGAACGUGCCCGAAUCGUGGGGGAUAACGCAGCGAAAGUUGCGCUAAUACCGCAUAAGCCCGUGAGGGGGAAANCGGGGGACCAAAGGCCUCGUGCGAAUGGGAGCGGCCGAUGUCAGAUUAGCUAGUUGGUGGGGUAAAGCUCACCAAGGCGACGAUCUGUAGCGGGUCUGAGAGGAUGAUCCGCCACACUGGGACUGAGACACGGCCCAGACUCCUACGGGAGGCAGCAGUGGGGAAUUUGGACAAUGGGCGCAAGCCUGAUCCAGCCAUGCCGCGUGCGGGACGAAGGCCUUC